UGCAGCCGGGGAGUUAGCGGUGCCCUGUACCUACAAUCCGCUACAGUAGGGGUGAUAUCCUUUCUGAGGGUAUUUUCUUGUAAGGCUGCCCUUCGCAAGUGGCGCUGACGUCUGGGUCUUACGCAAUAGGAACUGGCGAACCGUGUCAGGUUGGGAACAAAGCAGCACUAAGUCAGAACUCUUAUGUGAUGUGAGGGUGCCUGGACCGAGUUAACUGCGAAGGUAACGCUUAUGAGAGGUAUUCGAAGUUUGGAUGCGCG
rnacentral:SRP_RNA from 1 species